rnacentral:sRNA from 1 species
CUGGCCGUUAUCUGUAGUUACCAUGCCUAAUAUCUGUACAUAUGUGUAAUUGUGUAUGUGCACGAGUGCGCAAUAGUGGGUAACGUAGGAACAAAUCAACAAAUUUAGUUUUGGUGGUUUGGUCGAGCAUUUAUUCUCAAAUAUGAUAAAUUCAGCAAAUUCGAUCGCUCACCAGGUGAGAAGAUUUACAACGAGCGCGAUUCGUAGGAGCAUGCAUCACAAUCCUUAUGAUGGCGUUCCUGGAUAUAACAUGCCCUUCAGCUUGCAAAAUAGGCACUUUCUGCUACUUGGAUUUAUGGUUUUUCUUGGCAUCCCAUUUUCCCUUCCCUUGUUCAUGGUCCGUUAUCAGUUGAAAAAAUAAAUUUUCAGUACGUUGUGUCGCCUUGCGAAUCAGAUUACAUGACUGCAUCAGACUAGUAUGAUAUCCUACAUCAAUGCUGUGAGCAGUUUAUUUACUAGCUAGAAUAAUGUAAUAGAAAAUGUAUGUGUUUAUAAUAAAGAUGAUUUAUUGAUAUCUGAUAUCUAUCAGAUAUAGAAGCUUA